UACAGAGGGGGCAAGCGUUGUUCGGAAUUACUGGGCGUAAAGGGCGCGUAGGCGGCCUUCUAAGUCAGACGUGAAAUCCCUCGGCUCAACCGGGGAACUGCGUCUGAGACUGGAAGGCUUGAAUCCGGGAGAGGGAUGUGGAAUUCCAGGUGUAGCGGUGAAAUGCGUAGAUAUCUGGAGGAACACCGGUGGCGAAGGCGGCAUCCUGGACCGGUACUGACGCUGAGACGCGAAAGCGUGGGGAGCGAACAGG
rnacentral:rRNA from 1 species